UACAGAGGGUGCGAGCGUUGUUCGGAAUUAUUGGGCGUAAAGGGCGCGUAGGCGGUGCGGUAAGUCACCUGUGAAAUCUCCUGGCUCAACUGGGAGCUUGCAGGCGAAACUGCCGUGCUGGAGUGUGGGAGAGGUGAGUGGAAUUCCCGGUGUAGCGGUGAAAUGCGCAGAUAUCAGGAGGAACACCGAUGGCGAAGGCAGGUCUCUGGGCCACUACUGACGCUGAGAAGCGAAAGCAUGGGGAGCGAACAGG
rnacentral:rRNA from 1 species